GGCAGCUCUCAGUGGCAGGCAAGCAGCACAAAUAGAUUGAAAAACGAGGGAAUGCAUAAGCUGCUCCCCUGACUCACCACUGACUGUUGCAGAACUGACAUACCUGUGUAAGGACUGCCUCAGAGUUUGUGUUCCUGCCCAGCUGAGAACAACUUGACUCAUCUGCAGAAACCAGGACCACUGAAACGUUAAUGCACAAUGAAGCUGGCUAACGGGGAAAAUAAGUUCAGGUUACUUCAGUAACCUUUCCUUGAAAUUCUACCUUCUUAAUAUUUUGUUUUAUAUUUUAGCUAUAUUCUGGCAUAUAUUCAAAUGGAAGAAUAUGCCAUACUCACAGCAAGUAAUAAUUUAGAAUUCAUAUCAUGCUGUUUCACACUGGAAACACCAGCCAGUCAGAGUUAUAAGAAAGUACAGUGGCAUCAGAUGUGCAAAAAACCCACAAACCUGAAAACUGAAAUAGUUUGACGUGUCUUCCUGAGCACAUAGAGAUGAGUAUUUCUCUUGCCCACACAUUCUCCUAAUUAUGGUGAAAGUAAUUUCAAUAGGUACCCUGCACAGGGAAGGCCUCAAAUUAUCCUAAAGGCCAGACAUCCCCAGAUCUCAACUUCCAUGUGAAUCUUGGAGAGGUUCAAAUACUCUUAUAAGGACAAAACCCAUCCCCACAAUUCCCACCACAGGUGUAGG